CGGUCGCGGGCUGCUUGGUGGUUUAUAAGCGUUGCAAAUGGCGGUACGCGUCUGCCGGCGUUCGGUUUUGCCGGCGGUGGGGGCGGAACGAGCCUGGGAACUGUUAAUGAUAAUGUUCUAUAGUAUUCUGUUUGUUAAUACCUCGAUCCAUGUACUUAUCCUGGAGAAAGAAAGAAAGAAUGAAGAGGAUAUGGCACCAAUGCAGUAGUGUAAGCCGUCUGAAGCAUAGCAACCGAUGGGCACUGCUUUCUAAAGGUUUGAAAUCCGAGCUGUACUGUUCAGACCAUCCCUACUGUGGGGAAUACCCACUUCAAACAACAUGCACAGCCUCUCAGGUACAAAGUUUGUUCCAGACCAGGAGACAUUCGGUUUGGAGCUCCGUGUCAGCCAGGAACUGGGAGUCAAUGCCUUGCACAGCUGAAAG